rnacentral:tRNA from 1 species
GCCGAUAUAGCUCAGUUGGUAGAGCAGCGCAUUCGUAACGCGAAGGUCGUAGGUUCGACUCCUAUUAUCGGCACCA